CGCCUGUUUUNUUAAAAACAUGUCUUUUUGAUUAUAAUUUAAGGUUUAAUCUGCUCAAUGAUUAUUUAAAUUGCCGCAGUAUUUUGACUGUGCAAAGGUAGCAUAAUAAUUAGUUUCUUUAUUGGGAACUGGAAUGAAUGAUUGGACGAGAAAAUUUCUGUCUCUUUAUUAUUUUAAUUGAAUUUUACUUUUAAGUUAAAAGGCUUAAAUUUUAUUAGAGGACGAGAAGACCCUAUAGAGUUUAAUUUUUAUUUAAAUAAUUAUUUUUAGUAUUUAUAUAUAUUAUUUAAAUAAAAAUUUAGUUGGGGUGACUAAAAGAUAAGAAUAACUCUUUUAAUUUUUAUCAAUUAUUUUUGAUUAUAAAAUCUUUAUUUUUAAUUUUAAAAUAAAUUACCUUAGGGAUAACAGCGUAAUUCUUUUUUAAAGUUCUUAUUGAAAGAAGAGUUUGCGACCUCGAUGUUGGAUUAAAAUUAAUUUUAGGUGUAGAAGCUUGAAAAUUAAGUCUGUUCGACUUUUAAAAUUUUACAUGAUCUGAGUUUAAACCGGUGUGAGCCAGGUUGGUUUCUAUCCUUAAUUAUAUAUUAUACUUUA
rnacentral:rRNA from 1 species